rnacentral:rRNA from 1 species
AUCCCGAGUGCCAUCCGCUGAGGAAGGCUUUUACCCAGUCUAGAACGCUGGGGGAAUAAGGAGAGGGCAAGUCUGGUGUCAGCCGCCGCGGUAAUACCAGCUCUCCGAGUGGUGUGGAUGUUUAUUGGGCCUAAAGCAUCCGUAGCUGGCUAGGUAAGUCCCUUGUUAAAUCCACCGAAUUAAUCGUUGGAUCGCGGGGGAUACUGCUUGGCUAGGGGACGAGAGAGGCAGACGGUAUUUUCGGGGUAGGGGUGAAAUCCUAUAAUCCCGGGAAGACCACCAGUGGCGAAGGCUGUCUGCUAGAACGCGCCCGACGGUGAGGGAUGAAAGCUGGGGGAGCGAACCGGAUUAGAUACCCGGGUAGUCCCAGCUGUAAACGAUGCAGACUAGGUGUUUGGACGGCCACGUGCCGUUCUAGUGCCGCAGGGAAGCUGUUAAGUCUGCCGCCUGGGGAGUACGAUCGCAAGAUUGAAACUUAA